AGUGAACGCUAGCGGGAUGCUUUACACAUGCAAGUCGAACGGCAGCGCAGUCUUCGGUCUCUCGGCGGGUGGCCAAGGGGCGGGUGAUUUAGCGGAACAUCCCCAUUAACUUUUUAGUGGUAGGCAACGUCGUGAAUCUUACGCUAUAAGCGCAUCCGAGGUACGCAUGGAAGCAUAAGAUCUUGGAACAUUGCGCCGGCGAAUGAGCGGAUGUCGGAUUAGCUAGUUGGCGGGGUAACGGCCCACCAAGGCGACGAUCCGUAGCUGGUUUGAGAGGACGACCAGCCACACUGGGACUGAGACACGGCCCAGACUCCUACGGGAGGCAGCAGUGGGGAAUUUUGGACAAUGGGGGCAACCCUGAUCCAGCCAUCCCGCGUGGGCGAUGAAGGCCUUCGGGUUGUAAAGCCCUUUUGUCAGGAAAGAAACGUCGCGGGCUAAUACCCCGUGGAACUGACGGUACCUGAAGAAUAAGCACCGGCUAACUACGUG
rnacentral:rRNA from 1 species